rnacentral:rRNA from 1 species
CCUACGGGUGGCAGCAGUCGAGAAUUUUUCUCAAUGGGGGAAACCCUGAAGGAGCGACGCCGCGUGGAGGAUGAAGGUCUUCGGAUUGUAAACUCCUGUCAUUGGUGAACAAAGCCACAGGUUAACUGCCUUGUGGCCUGCUAGUAGCCGAAGAGGAAGGGACGGCUAACUCUGUGCCAGCAGCCGCGGUAAUACAGAGGUCCCAAGCGUUGUUCGGAUUCAUUGGGCGUAAAGGGUGCGUAGGCGGUAGGGUAAGUUGGAUGUGAAAUCUUGGGGCUCAACCUCAAAAUUGCAUUCAAUACUGCCUUGCUCGAGUUCUGUAGAGGAGAUUGGAAUUUACGGUGUAGCAGUGAAAUGCGUAGAUAUCGUAAGGAACGCCAGUGGCGAAAGCGAAUCUCUGGGCAGCAACUGACGCUGAGGCACGAAGGCCAGGGGAGCAA